UCUUUCCAUUAGGCAGCCUACAUGUGUUUGCUGAGGUCCUAUGUAUUUACAUAGUCACCUAACUUAUCAGAGUCACCGUGCUUCCAACAUGCAAGUACUUUGGAAGUUUUGGUAAAGAAUGAAGAAAAUCCCUGUGCUCUCGAUUCACCAUCUAUGGGGAAGGCCAACAAAAGAGGAAUAGAGAAAGUAUGAAAGUAUGAGCACACUAUCACAGGCAGACAAAAGGAGGGAACAGAUGGCAGCCCUGAGCUAUGGCUUGGAUGUUUUAGGAACAGCAAGACAUAGCCAUACUGAGUAAAGAGAACUAAGUUAUGAGGUAAGAAAGGUAAUGAGAUCAGGAAUGUAGCUCAGUGGAAAGGCACUUGUGUAGCAUGGACAAAGUCCUCUAUUCAGUCUCCAGGAUAUACACAUACAGACAUAGACAGUGAAGCUACAUGUGACUGGAUGGACUUUGGAUAACAUAGGAAAGUUUUGAAUGGACUUUGGAUAACGUAGGAAAGUUUUAGAUGGUCUUAAACAGAACAGUGUCAUGAAUUGGAAUUAAACUGAGGAUACAUACAUAGAGAAAGCAAGCCCUGAACCACAAAGCUAUAUUCCUAGGCCCUACCUGCUGUGAUGAUUUCUUCUAACAACAAGCCAAGACUGAUUCAUGGGGACAAGAAACUUCUGAUUUCUGAGAACUCAUCUCUCCCACCAUUCCAUCUCUUCCCUUCCAAGAUCUCUUGGACCAAUGCCCUGAUUUCAAUUCCCAUGGCAUGGAAGACUUGGAUUCCAGUCAUCACAUCUGCUUUGUUUCCUAUGUCAUCCUGGACCUUGUAUGAAUAACUUGAAAAGAGUGUGGGACUGGCUAAAGAAGCAUUGCUACUCUUGGCUGCAUUAAGCACUGAAUUCCAAGUAGAUGAGCGUCUGAGACAAUGAAUACCAGGACCGGCCGUCAUCUAAUCAAGACCCAAGCAGCACUUGUCAUGAGGUGUGAUGGCAGCCACCCCACUCGUCAGCAUUAUUGCCAUUAUACCGAAGAGGCAAUAAUGGGUUAUGUUAUGCAAAGUGCUCAGCAAUGAUAGAAGAAUCUAAAACAGAAGUAAAAACUUCCUUCUGCCUCCUUGGAGCAACCAAAAUAAAAGGCAGUCAUUUGGAGCCUUCACCUCCGGUGUGACAAUCAAUUAGAGGUCUUGCAAAACCAGAAAACCAAGAGAUGUGGAUGGAAAUACACAAGAAUACAUGAGACCCUUUGUACUUUGCCAACAGUUGACAAGAUGUGACCAACUAUAUAUAAAAAGCAUCAUGCUCUCUCCCUAAAAGAGCACUUCAGAAAACAUCUGCUAUUCGUGACAUACAGAAAUGGAAAGAAGAGGCUCUGAGAGGACCCUGGAAAAUCUUCAAACAGGAACUAUACAGUUGGCUCCUUGUCACCGUACUUUAGCAGGUCUUCUACAGAACAACUGUGUGUAAUAUGAUUUGCCUCUUUUAGGCUGAUCUUGAAGACUGUAUUUUAAUUAAAAGGACAUGAGGAAAACAGCAAGUUCUCACCUUACUCUUCUACAAGGUUAACAGAAGAACCUGACUUCCCAGUUGCUUGGCAUCCUCGAAUUUCAGAGCUUGGAAUCUAGAAGUGUGCAACCGUGUUGCAAACAGGACUAUUGGGAAGUGUGCAAAAUCAAGGACCUCUGGCCAGAAACAUGAGAGGAAGCUGAGAGGAGAACUCAGCCUUGAACAGACAAAAGCUGAAGCCGAUAGUUUGCUGUAUGAUCAGAACCAGGGCAGAAAACUCAGUUCAGCCAUGUCCAGACUGGUGUCUUGUGAUAAUUGAAAUGUUAAAUAUUUUAAAAUUUCUGGACUCGAGGGCAAGUUUACUUAGUAAUAUGGAACCAAUUCAGUUAACAAAGCAAUUCGAAUCUCAAAGAAAAAGAGACAGUUUGUGAAUGUAACAUCCAGGUGUAUAUAAGCUUUAAGUAUUGAUUUGCUUUGAAGGCAUAUUCAGAAAAAAAGAAAUCCCUUUGCUAGGCUCCCUCCCAUUACUCCAAACACAUACAAAUCUUCAAUUAAAAUGGACCCCCAAACUGUUUCUGCUCUGAAUAUAACUUUUUGUUGGCCUGCAAAUAUAUCCCUAUGCUUUUAGGAGGAUCAAUCUUUGAGGGAGGCAGCAGACAGAAAAUGGAUAAGUGUAUGCAUUAUCUAAACUAAUGAAAUUCUUAAGGCUAUGCUCUCAUCCACAGACACUGUCCACUGAAGAAGAACAAAGCUUUACAGCUGCCACCCAAUCUGUUUUGACAACCCAUCAGCCAGCUGUACAGAGCGUCUGGCUGGAACUCUUCUCUGGACUAGGCUGGAGGCAGGUCUAUUGAUGUGAAAAACAGCCCACUCUGUUGUUCUAAAGACUAAAUGUACAGAAACAAAACCUUAUGCUUAUUUCUUUUCUUUGAGUCAAGCCCAGACAUCCAAAUAGAAGAAAGCAUUAGUGUC